AACCUAGCACACCUGCGGUGUGUACCUGCGGAAGGAUCAUUACCGAGUUUACAACUCCCAAACCCCUGUGAACAUACCAAUUGUUGCCUCGGCGGAUCAGCCCGCUCCCGGUAAAACGGGACGGCCCGCCAGAGGACCCCUAAACUCUGUUUCUAUAUGUAACUUCUGAGUAAAACCAUAAAUAAAUCAAAACUUUUAGCAAUGGAUCU
rnacentral:misc_RNA from 1 species